rnacentral:rRNA from 1 species
AAACCGCUUAGGGGUUAAGCCCGAUGAACCUGAAUAUCCGAUGUGGGAAAUUCAAUACGGUAACGAUUGUACGUAAUUGUAUAAUUUUUAUUGUAUGCACUUUUCCCAUAGUAGGACAUUGUAAUCCAUUAAUGUUAUAUCCUCUAAUCAAGGAUGAUUUAACAUAAGGACAGAAUACUUUUGUUUAUUCUAUCUGUGUCAUGAAUACAUGUCAUAUGAGUAAAUGUAUUUUGUACCAGUUUAAAUAGUUGAUGGAUUUAUUGAUGAUCAUGCUUGCAUUCGUUGCGUUUCGUAUUAUUGGUUUUUAAUCGAUGAUAGCAGAAAUGGCAUGUAUCUGAUUAACAAUGCGAUAGAUUUGGGAUGCCCUCGGGACCCGUCUUGAAACACGGACCAAGGAGUCUAACAUAUGUGCAAGUCAUUGGGUAUUUCGUUGAAACCUAUUGGCGCAAUUAAAAUAACUAUAUUUUAAUUUGGGAUCACAAGUGGUGUUCAAUUAUGUGCCGCUUUUUAAUCCCGGGGCGUUCUAUACGAACAUGGUGCAAGCGAUUGUGCCCUCUGUUCAAGAGCGUACCUUGAGCACAUAUGCUGU